CCUACGGGUGGCAGCAGUGAGGAAUCUUGGUCAAUGGACGAGAGUCUGAACCAGCCAAGUAGCGUGAAGGAUGAAUGCCCUCUGGGUUGUAAACUUCUUUUAUAUGGGAAUAAAACAGGGUAUGCAUACCCUCUUGUAUGUACCAUAUGAAUAAGGAUCGGCUAACUCUGUGCCAGUAGCCGCGGUAAUACGGAGGAUCAGAGCGUUCUCCGGAUUUAUUGGGUGUAAAGGGAGCGUAGGUGGAUUGUUAUGUAAGUUGGGAAAGUUUGCGGCUCAACCGUAAAAUUGCUGUUGAAACUGGCAGUCUUGAGUACAGUAGAGGUGAGCGGAAUUCGUGGUGUAGCGUUGAAAUGCUUAGAUAUCACGAAGAACUCCGAUUGCGAAAGCAGCUCACUGGACUGCAACUGACACUGAUGCUCGAAAGUGUGGGUAUCAAACAGGAUUAGAUACCCUUGUAGUC
rnacentral:rRNA from 1 species